rnacentral:rRNA from 1 species
AGUGAACGCUGGCGGUAGGCCUAACACAUGCAAGUCGAACGGCAGCACAGUAAGAGCUUGCUCUUACGGGUGGCGAGUGGCGGACGGGUGAGGAAUACAUCGGAAUCUACUUUUUCGUGGGGGAUAACGUAGGGAAACUUACGCUAAUACCGCAUACGACCUACGGGUGAAAGCAGGGGAUCUUCGGACCUUGCGCGAUUGAAUGAGCCGAUGUCGGAUUAGCUAGUUGGCGGGGUAAAGGCCCACCAAGGCGACGAUCCGUAGCUGGUCUGAGAGGAUGGUCAGCCACACUGGAACUGAGACACGGUCCAGACUCCUACGGGAGGCAGCAGUGGGGAAUAUUGGACAAUGGGCGCAAGCCUGAUCCAGCCAUACCGCGUGGGUGAAGAAGGCCUUCGGGUUGUAAAGCCCUUUUGUUGGGAAAGAAAAGCAGCAGGUUAAUACCCCGCUGUUCUGACGGUACCCAAAGAAUAAACACCGGCGAACUUCGU